GACGAACGCUGGCGGCGCGCCUAACACAUGCAAGUCGAACGGAGCUUAAAGAGCUUGCUUUUUAAGCUUAGUGGCGAACGGGUGAGUAACGCGUGAGUAACCUGCCCUGGAGUGGGGGACAACAGUUGGAAACGACUGCUAAUACCGCAUAAGCCCACGGAUCCGCAUGGAUCUGCGGGAAAAGGAUUUAUUCGCUCUAGGAUGGACUCGCGUCCAAUUAGCUAGUUGGUGAGGUAACGGCCCACCAAGGCGACGAUUGGUAGCCGGACUGAGAGGUUGAACGGCCACAUUGGGACUGAGACACGGCCCAGACUCCUACGGGAGGCAGCAGUGGGGGAUAUUGCACAAUGGGGGAAACCCUGAUGCAGCGACGCCGCGUGGAGGAAGAAGGUUUUCGGAUUGUAAACUCCUGUCGUUAGGGACGAUAAUGACGGUACCUAACAAGAAAGCACCGGCUAACUACGUGCCAGCAGCCGCGGUAAAACGUAGGGUGCAAGCGUUGUCCGGAAUUACUGGGUGUAAAGGGAGCGCAGGCGGACCGGCAAGUUGGAAGUGAAAACUAUGGGCUCAACCCAUAAAUUGCUUUCAAAACUGCUGGCCUUGAGUAGUGCAGAGGUAGGUGGAAUUCCCGGUGUAGCGGUGGAAUGCGUAGAUAUCGGGAGGAACACCAGUGGCGAAGGCGACCUACUGGGCACCAACUGACGCUGAGGCUCGAAAGC
rnacentral:rRNA from 1 species